GAUGAACGCUGGCGGCGUGCCUAAUACAUGCAAGUCGAGCGAACAGACGAGGAGCUUGCUCCUCUGACGUUAGCGGCGGACGGGUGAGUAACACGUGGAUAACCUACCUAUAAGACUGGGAUAACUUCGGGAAACCGGAGCUAAUACCGGAUAAUAUAUUGAACCGCAUGGUUCAAUAGUGAAAGACGGUUUUGCUGUCACUUAUAGAUGGAUCCGCGCCGCAUUAGCUAGUUGGUAAGGUAACGGCUUACCAAGGCAACGAUGCGUAGCCGACCUGAGAGGGUGAUCGGCCACACUGGAACUGAGACACGGUCCAGACUCCUACGGGAGGCAGCAGUAGGGAAUCUUCUGCAAUGGGCGAAAGCCUGACGGAGCAACGCCGCGUGAGUGAUGAAGGUCUUCGGAUCGUAAAACUCUGUUAUUAGGGAAGAACAAAUGUGUAAGUAACUAUGCACGUCUUGACGGUACCUAAUCAGAAAGCCACGGCUAACUACGUG
rnacentral:rRNA from 1 species